rnacentral:rRNA from 1 species
GGCCUGUCCUAACGUACAGGGUAUGGUAACAGAGGAAGGGAUGAACCAGCGGCCUCCCUUGGCCGCUGGGGAAAUGGGCAAUCCGCAGCGAAGCCCCUACCGUCUUCGGCACUGCCGGGGGCCACGGGGAACGUUCACAGACUAAGUGGAAGUGGGUGGGAUGUAGCAUCCUGCUUAAGAUAUAGUCGGGCCCCUGGGGAGACCCAGGGAUGUAUCAAACCGUUCCGUAGGUGAACCUUCGGAAGGAUCAUUA